GUGCCCAGUUGCUGACAUGACAAUCUCCCUCCACUUCUGUCAGAAGAAAAUGUCUUCUACCAGACAGAUCAAGAAUCAAUAGGGACAGAGAGAUGGCGAACAUCUGUUCCAAAUGUAGGAGAGAAGAGGAGAACUUUCCUAUUGUUCCCAAAGACAUUGGAGAGAAGAUAGAAGUGGUGAACAGUGUUCUGAUUACAUUAGAGGGGCCCAGUGGAGAGGAGAAAGGAGACUGUGACAAUGUAAGGAGUGGAGCAAAUGCUCUUGGCCAAAGAACCACUCCCUCUCAUGACUCCAUGGAGACAGAGAAAAGAUCAGAGGAAAAAGACGCUGAGUUUGUGGACAGACACAGAGCUGAUCUCAUUCAAAAGGUUAUUAUGGUGAUGCCUAUAGCAGAUGACCUGUUCCAGAUGGAUAUGAUCCAUAAAGAGAUGUACUCUAACAUCCAUGUUGCCAAGACCAGUCAGGACCAGAUGAGGGAGCUGUACAAGGCUUUAAACUCAGGGGGAGUUAAAGUCAAAUCAGCCUUCUACUGGAUCCUGCAGAACAAAGAGACUUAUUUGGUCCACGAACUCGGGACUGACUGUAAAGACAGGGUCUAUAGCAGACAGACAAGCAACAAUGGGCAGAGGCCUGUGGACGAUAUCGCACAAAGAGUUAAAGAGAAACUUAAAGCCAGUCUGAAGGAGAAGUUUAGGUUCCUGUGUGAAGGCACUGCAGAGGAAAAAACUCUACUUGACCGCAUUUACACCCAGCUCUACAUCACCCAGGGAGAGAGUGAAGGGGUUAAUACAGAACAUGAGGUUAGACAGAUUGAAAAUACAUCCAGGAAAAAAAACACAUCAGACACUCCAAUCAACUGCAAUGACAUCUUCAAACCCUCACCUGGAGAGAAGAGUGAAGAGGAGAGACCCAUCAGAACCGUCAUGACAAAGGGCAUCGCUGGAAUCGGAAAAACAGUCUCAGUGCAGAAGUUCAUCCUGGACUGGACAGAGGGAAGAGCCAAUCAGGAUGUGGAUUUCAUUUUUGUGUUUCCUUUCCGAGAUCUGAAUUUGAUUCAAGAUGAUCAGUACAGUCUUCAAGGGAUUUUGAGUUAUUUUCACCCCGAACUUGAAGAGAUAAAAUAUGCACACAGAUAUGUUGACUGUAAAGUCAUGUUCAUCUUUGAUGGCCUGGAUGAAAGCAGAUUACCAUUAGCUUUUAAUAAGAAUAAGAAACUGAGUCAUCUAAAUGAGACAUCUUCAGUUGACAGGUUGAUGACAAACCUCAUUGAUGGAAAUCUACUCCCCAAAGCCCUCAUCUGGAUAACCUCCAGACCCGCAGCAGCCAAUCAGAUCCCUCAUGAGUACAUCAGCAAGGUGACAGAAGUACGAGGGUUCAGUGACAAACAGAAAGAAGAAUACUUUAAGAAGAUAGUUACAGAGAAGAACCUAGUUAGUAGAAUCAUCUCACACAUUAAGACAUCAAGAAGCCUCCACAUCAUGUGUCACAUACCAGUCUUCUGUUGGAUUACAGCCAGGGUUCUUCAGCACAUGAUGACUGAAGGAAAGAGUGGAGACAUCACAACUCUGACGGAGAUGUACGCUCACCUCACACUCAUUCAGACAAAUCUGAAAAGCAAAAAGUAUGAUGGCACAACCGAGAAUGAUUUCAACACAAUCACAGAAAGACACAAAGAAAUAAUUCUAAAACUGGCACAACUGGCAUUUCAGCAGCUGGUGAAGGGGGAUCUCAUAUUCUAUAAGAAAGACCUGGAAGAGUGUGACAUUGACAUCAGUGAAGCUUCAGUGAACUCUGGAUUUUGCACAGAAAUUAUUAAAAAAGAGCAGGUGGUACAUAAGAGAAAAGUGUAUUGCUUUGUUCACCUGAGCUUCCAGGAAUUUCUUGCUGCUCUGUACAUUUUUCAGUGCUAUGUGAGUAAGAAUUUGAUGGCUCUGGAGUCUUUCAUUGAGGAUGUGUCUUCUGAGCUGCCCUUUCAUGAGCUGCUGAAGAAGAUAGUUGAUAAAGCUUUGGAAAGUGAGAAUGGACACCUGGACCUGUUCCUCCGCUUCCUUGUUGGCAUCACACUGGAGUCCAACCAGAGACUGUUACAAGGCCUACUGCCACAGACAGAGAUCAGCUCAGAGACUGUUGAUGAAAUAAAGAAAUGCCUCAGGAAGCCGCAUUUAGAGCAAGUCUCACCAGACAGGUACAUCAAUCUACUCAUCUGCUUGACUGAGAUGAAAGAUGAUUCAGUACAUGAGGACAUUGACAAGUUCCUGAGGUCUAGAAAUAAUAGAGGACAACUGACAGGUACACACUUCUCAGCACUGGCCAACGCACUGCUGAUGUCAAAGGGUGUGCUGGAUGAGAUUGAUCUGAGGACAUACAACUGGUCACCUGGGUGUACGAGACUGGUCCCAGCUGUCAGGAAAUGCAGAAAGGCAAUACUGGUUGGCUAUCGAUUGUCUAAAGAAAACUACGAAUCACUGGCUACCAUCGUCCAAUCUGAAGACUCACAUCUGAGAGAACUGAACCUAGGGGAUCUAGGGUUUCUUGAUCCUGACGAUUAUGAAGAAGGCAGCCUGACUGUUCUCUGUGAUGAUCUGAAACAUCCACACUGUAAACUGGAGACCCUGAGGCUUGGUGGCUUUAAACUCUCUGUGGAGGACUGUAGAUCACUGGCAUCUGCUCUCCAAUCAGAAAACUCCCCUCUAAGAGAACUGGACCUGAGGAACAGUGAUCUGUCUGAUGAUGGAAUAAGUAAACUCUUUACAGCUCUGAAAGAUCCUCACUGCAAAAUACAGACACUGAGACUGGGUAGCUUAAGCCUCUCUGAGGUGGACUGUAGAUCACUGGCCUCUGUUCUCCCACUGGCAAACACGUCUCUGAUAAAACUGGACCUGAGGAACUGUGAGCUGUCUAAUGACGGAAGGGAACUACUUAUGGCUCUGCAAUAUCCACGAUGUAAACUACAGACACUGAGGCUGAAUGGCUGUAAUCUGACGGACAGAUCUUGUGAAGUGUUGGCCUCAGCUCUCAGUUCAAACUCCUCUCAUCUGAAAGAGUUGGACCUGAGUUACAAUGACCUGCUGGACUCUGGAGUUAAGCUGCUCUGUGUGGGACUGCGGCAUCACAACUGUAAAGUGGAACAACUGAGGCUGUCAUUCUGUAAAGUUACACAGGAAGGCUCCGAUUCUCUGGCUUCAGCUCUGAGGUCAAAUCCUUCCCACCUGAGAGAACUGGACCUGAGCUUCAACCGCCCAGGAGACUCUGGAGUGAAGCUGCUCUCUGAUAGACUGGAGGAUCCUGACUGGAGACCGGAGAAACUGAAUGUGGACCAUAAUGAAGAGUUCUGGGCGAAACCACAGCUGAUGAAGAAAUAUUACUGUGAUCCCAUUCUGGACCCAAACACAGCACACAGACACCUCUCUCUGUCUGAGGGCAACAGAAGGGCAGAGUUUGUGGAAGAGGAGCAGCCGUAUCCUGAUCACCAAGACAGAUUUGACGGCUGGCCACAGGUGUUGUGUAGAGACGGUCUGAUUGGACGCUGUUACUGGGAGGUGGAGUGGAGUGGAAAAGCUCACAUAGCAGUGACAUAUAAAGACAUCAGCAGAAAGGGGGUCAGUCCUUUCUUUGUGUUUGGAUUCAGUGACAUGUCCUGGAGUCUGGUGUGCAGGGAGGAUCAUUACAAUACCUUCCACAAUAAUGAAGAAGCUGUUAUACCUGCCCCUCACCUCAUCCAUCCUCCUCAACCUCAGAGUGACCUGACCUCCUCUCCUCCACCCAGAAUAGGAGUGUUUCUGGACUGGCCGGCCGGCACCCUGUCCUUCUAUGAGGUCCACUCUGACACAAUGUCCCACCUGUACACAUACCAGACCACAUUCACUGAGCCCCUCUACCCAGGAUUUGGGGUUAGGGUUAAGGGAAGUUCAGUGACCCUGUGUCAUGCAGGGUUGGGUAGGUUACUUUUUAAUUGCACUUCGUUAUAGUUACAAGUUACCUGUCUACAUUUGUAAUCAGUAACUUUUUGAUUACUCAAACUCAAACUGAUUACUUUCGUAUAAAGAGGCAUUAGAAAACAAAUAGGAAUAGCCUAUAACCAGUUGAACACAUUUUGCGAGAUCAAUCAAUGUUAGUGUUUACAACGGAAUUUGCAUUUUAGCCUAUGGGUUAUGUACAGUGCUUUUGGAAAGGGUUUCUAAACCAUUGCUUACUAUUUCAAUAUGAUUGGGCUACAUCUCCACAUUGCACACUAAAGGUCUAUCAGAUAUUCAGUCAUUCCAAUUAAUCCAAUAACCCUUGAUCAUCCAGAAUCUGACUUUUUAUCUCAACAUAAUCCAAAAUCAAAAGAUGUGUUAGCCAAUUCUGUUACUUGUGUUUUAUUCAUGUUUUUAAUUGCUUCAAAACAGUAACUGUCAAUUUUUCAAACAGGGUGGCUGCGUCAAAUGCAAAUCCUCAUUCUGUGGCAGAGGGCUUCCCAACACACCUUUUCUCCUCAAAUAUUCCAAUGUUUUAUCUUGAAGGCAGCGCCAUGUUACAGCUAUCUAACAAAUAGCUGCCUAAUCUAUUAAACAAUUCCUGUCUGAGUUGUUCAGUGCAACUCUUCCUGGCUGUGUUAUUUGGUGCAUUUGAAAAAUAUAUAACACGAUGUAGGCCUAUCGCCUAUUGUUGUUCUGAGAAGACGCGUUACACCAGUAGAUAGCUAAAUCCCAUUUUAUUUGAGUCGGCUAAUAUUAUCGUAGAUAUAGGCCUACUCUGUUUUUACCAGCCAUCCAACCAACCAAAAUCUGAGGAAAUUAAACUAACCCUUCAUCAGUCACUAAUCUCGUUGUGCGCGCCCACCUUUCCACGCUUGAUGAUCACACACAACUGAGGCUAUUUUGGUUCAAAUAACAAUGUUUUUAAAACAUUACAUA